ensembl:lncRNA
AUGAUGUCAUCAUCUUUGGAUCUUAGGUUCUCUUUGCUGUCUAUCCCAACAUGCACACCUCAUUGCUCUUCCUGUUAUAUCUCUCAAGAAUGCUUCUUUCUCAUGAUGAAUGUUCAUGUAUUAGCCUGUCAGCCAGAUGGACAGCAGAAGUCUUUAAUCUCUCCCUCUCUCACUCUCUCUCUCAGCCCAGUUCCCCCUCCUGCCGCAGGAGUCUUUGUGGAGCCCGUCAGUCAGGUCAUCAGAGAGACAUUCAGCACAGACACGGAGCAGAAGAUUUAUAGCUGUGAGGUGAGAGCAGAUCAUGGGCUGCUUGAGCAAAGAGGAACAAGAAAACCAGAAAGCACCUACUGAGAAGUACUCAAAGAGAUUUAAUAAACAGAAGUAAAACACUGAACUGAAAUACUGUGAAAUACUGUGCACAAAGUUAAAGAAAGUUCAUAAAUUUGGUCCCUUCAUACUUUGGGACAUAUGCCAAAGAACAUAAUCUAAAGCUGAUUUUAUAUCGAUAUGUACUGUAGGGUGGGCUACAUUUUUAUGUUCACUCAGGAUUCACUCAUCAGCAUUUGGAAACCAUGACUUUUCUCUGACUGGUGUGGUGAGCAAGUAAUUUUUUUGUGUGUGGAUUCCUUUUGUGUCACGUUGCAUGAGAGCAUAAAUGAACAAAACAGAAAUAAAAUAUGGAAUCGUCUUGAUUUCAGAGCUACACGUGCCCGGAUGUCCACCUCACCAGCACCACAUUUCCUCCACUCCCAUACAUGACAGUCAAAAAUCUUUCCUGUGUUGAGAAAAAAAAAGGCUCUCUUGCUCAAUUUGUGCCAACUGCUCAUUAGAUCGAGUACCAGGACCGUGAGGUGUUAGAUGAAUCGC